CGAACGCUGGCGGCACGCCUAACGCAUGCAAGUCGAACGGAGAUUUGAGAGCUUGCUCUUAAAUCUUAGUGGCGGACGGGUGAGUAACACGUGAGCAACCUGCCUCGGAGAGAGGGAUAGCUUCUGGAAACGGAUGGUAAUACCUCAUAAAAUAGCUAGGCCGCAUGACCUGGUUAUCAAAGAUUUAUCACUCAGAGAUGGGCUCGCGUCUGAUUAGCUAGUUGGUGAGGUAACGGCCCACCAAGGCGACGAUCAGUAGCCGGACUGAGAGGUUGAACGGCCACAUUGGGACUGAGACACGGCCCAGACUCCUACGGGAGGCAGCAGUGAGGGAUAUUGCACAAUGGAGGAAACUCUGAAUGCAGCGAUGCCGCGUGGAGGAAGAAGGUUUUCGGAUUGUAAACUCCUGUUUCGAGGGACGAUAAUGACGGUACCUCGGGAGGAAGCUCCGGCUAACUACGUGCCAGCAGCCGC
rnacentral:rRNA from 1 species